rnacentral:rRNA from 1 species
UAUUGAGUCUGGUAUGAUGAAUUUUGGGUAGAAACUGUCUUAAUAUAUUUUUUAUAAUUUAAUAUGCAAGUGAAAAUACUUGCUUUAAUAUAAAAGACGAGAAGACCCUAGAAACUUAUAUUAUUUUUGUUGGGGCGACAGGAUUACAGUUAACUAAUCUUACUUAACGUGACGUUUAACAGUUAGAAAAAGUUACUCUAGGGAUAACAGCAA